rnacentral:lncRNA from 1 species
UUGUUGGCUUUCAAUGUAGUUGUCUGUUAUGAGAGACAGUUUUUCUUUCAGAGGAGCUUGUAACUGAUUAGGUGGGAUUCCAAGGAAAAAGAGACUUUUGAAUCAACCCAGUUGAAAGAAAGAUGACAGCAGCCCUGAGGAAGAAACUUCUUGUACACUUUCUUACACAGAAAGCAUUUUGCUUUUGUUGCUAAAGAUUUGGUUUGAAUGAAAGAUGCUGAUCAGAACCAAUGGGGAUCAGAUAGACAAGCUCCCAGCAUGGAGUGGCUGUCACGGCCGUGAUGAAAACAGGGCCCCUUCAGUGUGGAACCGUGGGAGACGCGGAACACAACACAGGGUGGUGGAUUCCUGGGCGGAGCUCUGCCUGCCCCACGGGCCUGUGGUCUGCUCUGUCUGCCGGGGCCCAGUUUACCGAACUACUUGGUGGCCAGAUAGCCACCGUAGGGCGUGAGCGGCCGGCACGAAAGCCCAGGGCCUCUGUCUCCCGGGAGCUGCUGGCGCGGCGCGGCUGGGACACGCCGUACUCGGUGCCACGUUCUUGCCCAGUUCCUCGCUGUGGUGAGCUGCUGGCUGUUAGGAAGCCUUUCCCUCGGCUGCGGCCCUCCCACACGGCCCCCAGACCCCUGACUGCAGGGUGGGCGGGCGUACCAGGGGAGGCACUCUGGCCGGCCCGCUUGGCAGCAGGGCCACAGCUCCUCCUCGCAGGGCUUUGUGGGAUUUUAAAGGAUGAAUCGUCUUGUUCUCCAUGCUCCCCCUGCCGCCCAUGCGCGCCAUGCUCUGUGUGAGGAUGAAUUGGAGGGACUGGCCAUGAGCGGUGGCUUUUUUCGUGUUUGGGGUCGGGAGGGUGUUGGGUGGAAUGAACAUCAAGGGAACCACCCAUUGAGCUUAGAAAUUCUUGCCAGGCAGUUGGUUUGUGUUUGUGUUUAGAUGAGAGCAGUGUUGAUUGCAGUUUGACAUCUGAUUUUUUUUUUAAUUGAGUUGGUACAAGCAGGAUGUCAUUGGCUAGGUGACAAAGUCACUGGGGGACCAAAUACCAAGAUGCCCGUUGGUGAGAGAGACCCUCCCCAGGACCCUCCCCAGGCGCCUCCUUCUCCGUGACGUUCAGGACCCUCCCCAGGCGCCUCCUUCCCCGUGACGUUCAGGACCCCUCCCCAGGGCCCUCCCCAGGCGCCUCCUUCCCCGUGACGUUCAGGACCCUCCCCAGGCGCCUCCUUCCCUGUCAUGUUCAGGACCCUCCCCAGGCGCCUCCUUCCCCGUGACGUUCAGGACCCUCCCCAGGCGCCUCCUUCCCUGUCAUGUUCAGGACCCUCCCCAGGCGCCUCCUUCCCUGUGACAUUCAAGACCCUCCCCAGGGCCCUCCCCAGGCGCCUCCUUCCCCGUGUGGUUCAGGACCCUCCCCAGGCGCCUCCUUCCCCGUGACGUUCAGGACCCUCCCCAGGGCUCUCCACAGGCGCCUCCUUCCACGUGUCGUUCAGGUGACGAGGCGAGACCCCGCGCUGGACGUGGCACUCGGGUGUUGGAGUGAGGUGGCGGCGCCGUGUGCUUGAUGGUUUCCAUCAGAGAAGAGUCAGCCUUCCUCCAGAAGGAGCGGGGGAUGGUGGUUCCCCAGCCCGGAAGGAAAAGGAGCCGAGCUCUAGCUGUGAUCACGGCCUCAGCCUGCCUGCCUUUGUGCAUGGAAGGAACUUGCUAGUGACCGCUGCUCUCCUGGGCAGUGUAAGAGUGUUGUGUGGAGGCCGGGGGCGCUGGAGGCCAGUCUCGUUUUCAUAGCCCAGAUGGCUCCCGGCGCAGGUUGCAGUCACCUCCAUUACUCUUUCACGAGAGAGCUGCAGCAAUGCCAUCUGGGGCCUGGCCACACCUGGUCACUGGUGUCCCGAGGCACACAAGCAGUCCCUGCCGGAAGCUGACACACUGUCAUGGCCAAGGGCCACAGUGCAGGUACCACGGUGACCCGGCUUCCCUGAGUCCAGCUCACGCCCGUUUUCCUUGUCUCAACCUUCAGAGCCCUUCCAAGCCCCCACUGGCUGCAGCCCACCCAGGGGACCCACCUUUAGAGGCUGGACUCAGGCUUCACUGAGGGGUGAGAAGCGCAGGUUUACAAAGCUCUGGCUGGGAAGAAAUUGAGUAACCACUCCCUGAGAAACAAACGGAGACGUUUAAUUACAUGAACGCACACAUUUUAAAAACCGCCUGUGCACUCCCGGAGGGCAGAGCCUGCCUCUCUGGUUAUUUUUGUGUCCUCCAUUCACUUACAGGCUGUGACAAACCCUGUGCCCACGCUGCCUCCACUGCCGGGAGACUCAGGGCUGGGGGAGACAUGCCCUGGUCACCACUGCGGAGACUCAGGGCUGGGGGAGACAUGCCCUGGCCACCAGUGGUGAGCCAGCGAGACAGGACCCCACGCGCGCUGACCCGGGGACGCCAUGGAACUCACUCGCGAUUCCUGCACGCGCGCUGACCCGGGGACGCCAUGGAACUCACUCGCGAUUCCUGCUCACAGCACGUUUCCUGCUCGAAAACCAGGAGAGCCUCCACGUGCCGACUAGCUCUGUCCACACAUCCAUUGCGCAGCUCUGCAGCGGAAGGACCUUCAGUAAAGACGCUGGUUUGUAACGAGAGAAGCGUUCCAAAGUGUCACACGACAUUGUUUAUUACUAAAAGGAGCAGAAUUUCUUUUUAAUCUUGACAGUGUUGUUUUCGUAACAGUAUGAUUUAAACUGUUACAUUCAUUUAGGAAAACUUUUUUUCAUUUCAUAAGUAAUCAAGCUAUCUUUCCAGCUUAAAAGCAAAGAAAAAAGGCUCAGGGUAACUUUUUAAACCACUUCAUCAAUAAGAAAAGUUCUCUCUGUCAUUGCACGGCGUGAUUGUACACAGUAUUAGCAAGCAGUUCACAUGCGCCAGGGCCGACUUGGAAGGAAACACAGGUUAACACUGUUUCCUGUCCGAGUUCACAGAGAUGUUUGCAGCAGGCUCAGUUGCUUUGGCAGCUGGAGCGAGGGUGCCUCUUCCGCGUGGCUCCCCUGAGCAGAGAGGCCCCUGUGGUUUUUUUCUCCGCCGGGCUCUGGGGACAGGGUUUCUGUGGAAAUGGCAAAUGGUGCAGAUGAGCAGAGUCCUGCUAGAGAGGUCAGCUCAGCGUCCAGGAGGGGGCGCCUGCCCCCGAGGAGGCCACGGACAUGCCUGGGAAGUUGCUGCCGGAGAAGUGUGCUCUGAUGUGGCUACAUUUGGGGACGCGGGCUCCCCAGAGGCCCAAGCGAGAAAGCCGGGGGUUCCCAGGCUGGGGGUGCAGGACGGGCCAGGCACUGCCCUGCAGGGCCCGCCCCCCUGCCCCUGCACCCUCACACCCAUCUUCCUCUCUCAGCCUGACCCCAGGGCCUGGGAGCCCCCGGCAGACCGGCCCUCCUUGCCAAACAGUGGCUGCCCUUUAUGGACUCGGCGCCUGGCAGAGCCACUGUGGAGGAGGAGUUGGCUGUCAUGGUCAGGGGAGGCAGCCCUUGGGUUGUCAAGGUUGGUGGUCAACGUUGAACCCAUAUCUGCUGGAAUCUCCCGGUCUGUUCCACACACGAUCAUGCGGGAAGCUCUGGGACCCGAAGGCUGUUCUGAUCUCGGGGGUCACAAGUUCUCACAGCAGCCUGGGGUCACCAGGGACCAGACCCGGCGUUAGCCUCUGUAAGGAGCUGCCUGGCUGCUGGGCUGAGCUUUGUUGCAGGCCCAGGAAGAUGACCAAGAAGGACAGAGCAGAGCCCCAUCUACCACUGCUGGGAGGGCCCGAGGGAGCACGUGCACAGCAGAGCCCCAUCCUCCACUCCCUGGGCUCGAAGAGGCUUCCUCGGUGUGGAUGGCAGCUGUUAACGAGCAGUGGUGGUGCAGCUGGAGGCCUCUGUCCCAUGGGGCACAGACGGGAGAAGGAUGGCGGACGGGUGUGCACGCUUGGGAGGACGGGCGGGCGGCAUAGGCCUGAGCAGGUGGCAUGGGCGCACGAGAAGGGUGUGUCUGAGACAGGAUGUUUAUCCCAAAUGCCAGGAGUGGACGAGGCGGACGAGUGGCAGUGAGGCUGAGCCAGCAACCUCCUUGGCACCUGGGGACAGUCGCUUCCUCAGUUUCUGCGUACCGACUGCCUCACCUGACACGCGGCCUGGGCGCGAGAGAAGCCAACCAGGUGCCUGAGUUGACUGACUCCUUCCGCCCUCCAGCUUCCUCCCUCCGCCCUCCAACCUCCUCCCUCCACCCUCCAACCUCCUCCCUCCGCCCUCCAACCUCCUCCCUCUGCCCUGCAACCUCCUCCCCUCUGCCCUCCAACCUCCUCCCUCCGCCCUCCAAUCUCCUCCCUCUGCCCUGCAUCCUCCUCCCCUCCGCCCUCCAACCUCCUCCCUCCGCCCUCCAACCUCCUCCCUCCGCCCUCCAACCUCCUCCCUCCGCCCUCUGCCCUCCUCCCUCUGCCCUCCAGCGUUCUCCCUCCUCCCUCCACCCUGUUUCCUCCCUCCACCUCUUCUCUCCUCCCUCCACCCUCUUCCUUCUACCCUCUUCCCUCUGCCCUCUUCUUCUGCCCUCCUCCCUCCACCCUCUUUCCUCCCUCCUCCCUCCACCCUCUGCCCUCCUCCCUCUACCCCCUGCCCUCCUCCCUCCGCCUUAUCUGGAAUCGGGGUCUUGGUCCUGGGCUGGAGGCAGACCCUGGCCCGGGCGAGGUUAAAGGUACUGCAGGAGGGCGGCAUCAUGAUGUCCUGAAGCUUGUUGCGCCCGGUGCUGUCGGCCGGCUGAAGGCAGAAACAGUCACAGCACCUGCAGCUAUGGAAGGCGACGACUGAAAAUCUAAUAGGCACCUUGAUGUCAAGUUUCCAAGACCAAAGGCAAGAACAGUCAGAUCAAACUUCGGAAGAGUCAGAGAAAGUGAGCAUGACCUAGAGGAGGGAGACGGUCCUUCCGCUGUCUCCUGCAGAGCGUCUGUCGCACGUAUGAGGUGAAAUCCGCACUGUCCCAUGAAGACUGUGAGGGGAGUUGCCACCCGCACACGGCCCAGGAGCGCCAGCAGCUUGGGGACCACCACAGGCCUCAGGGUCUCUUCAGUCCGACGGGUCCAGCUGUCGAUAAAACCUCCCGGGGAAGGAGUAAAGGACAACCAAGAACCUGAACUGCAAAAGUAUGAAAAACAUUUCAUUUCCCUCGAGUUCUCCACACUUUAGGUCUGCAGCGCCUUGGGGGUGACUGAUGGCCCUCCGUGAGACGCGGUGGCCAUGUGCUUCUACAAGUGAAAAGGAGCAAGUGUGGUUAGAGCCUGGAGUAUGGACGUCCCGGGGACCGCUGGCCCAUGGCCUGGCUUGGGGCCUUACAGGGGAGCGAGCUGAGUGAAUGCAGGGGAGGGCCCGUCUUUCUACAGUGUGUAUCUUGUUUUUGAGACAGACUCACUCUGUCGUCCAGGCUGGAGUGCAGUGGCGCGAUCUCUGCUCACUGCAACCUCUGCCUCCCGGGUUCAAGCGAUUCUCCUGCCUCAGCCUCCUCAGUAGCUGGGAUUACAGGCACCUGCCACCACGCCUGGCUAAUUUUUGUAUUUUUUUUUUAGUAGAGAUGGGGUUUCACUAUGUUGGUCAGGCUGGCCUCGAGCUCCUGACCUCAGGUGAUCCACCUGCCUUGGCCUCCCAAAGUGCUGGGAUUACAGGCAUGAGCCACCGCGCCCGGCCCUGCCCUGCUUUUCUACAUCACCACUGUCUUGUCAGUUAGCUCGGCUCAGGCAUUGCAUGCCUGAUCUGUAUCUUUGGGAAUCCUGUGAGGUAAUGGUUCUAGAUCCAAAAGAAUGGAUAAAGAGACUGUUUCAGUUCCCGAAAUUAUCCAGGCACAUUCUGUGCGCUACUGAACUUCAGAAAGCACCAGUCCAUCCAGUGUGCAGAGGCUGGUACCGUUUUGUGUCAUGCAGUUACUGGAAUGUACAAAAGCAGCUGUGAUCUUUGUGAGAGCUGCACAGAGCAGGAGUCUGAGAGCUGCACAGAGCAGGAGUCUUUAUUUGGUUCACUUCUGGUCUGCAGCAACCACUUGCUACUAAAAGAUGGAAAAGAUGUACAAAAAUGUCACAGCCCUUUAGAAAGCGACAUUAUCAGAAAUGUAUGACCUUCAGUCCUCCCUCCCUCUCCUAUGCCCCCACCAGACCAGGCGGCGAGAAGGAACAGGGAGUGAACAUGUAACGGAAAACAAUAAAACUGAAUUUAACUGG